UGGGGAAUAUUGCACAAUGGGGGAAACUCUGAUAGCAGCAACGCCGCGUGAGUGAUGAAGGUCUUCGGAUUGUAAAACUCUGUCUUUGGGGACGAUAAUGACGGUACCCAAGGAGGAAGCCACGGCUAACUACGUGCCAGCAGCCCCGGGAAUUAAA
rnacentral:rRNA from 1 species